CGAUGAUGGGCUUUUCCUACUGUUUAACUUGUUUCCACCUUCAGUCGCCAGAUAACCAAAAUAAUGUCCACUAUCGCAAACUGGAAAAGAUGAACGUCUCUUCUGUCCUUUAUUAUUACCAUUAUUAUUAUCGAACAGGGUUGGCCGUUGAACAGAUGAACUCGCUUGCUGUUUCAAGUUGUACGAUGAAAUAUGAGGUGGAGAAGAUGAAGGUGACGAUUGCGACGAAGAGGUUACUGAUGGCUUUAAAAGUGACGGACAUUUCAGGUGAAUCAAUGAGCUUGAUAAAUGAGCAGAAUGAGAUGAUACAUCUGGUUCAGGAAAACUGGAAUCUUCAUUCUCCGAGACUGUCCCAUGAAGGAAGACCAAUGCUGCUGCAGCCAGUUCACAUCCAGUAUAAAUUCCAAUGCAACCUGGAGCUGAACCGCGACGACCUCGGCAAAAUUGUGCCUAAAAAGACAAAAGAAACAAACAAAAUUGAUAAAUUGUUGGCAAAUGAAAAGGAAAACAAAACCAGAUUAAAAAGCAAAAUGCUCAUCACCACCGAUAUGCCUGUCUAAAUUGAUAAAAAAGUAACUUAAUGGACACGAUUGAUUGAUUCAAUACAAUGAGAUGAAAUUGUCAAUUAACCUUUUAAGAUGGAUUUCAUGAUUCAACCAUUUAACAGAUGAAAGGUUUAAUUUAGCUGAUUGUUGUUCCAUAUGAUUUUUGUUUUGACUCUUCAGAAGGUUUCUUUUUGUUUUCCUGUCAAGAUCAAUUAACUCAUUGACUAAAUUCAGGUUAAUUUAAUUGAUUUUCAAUUUUAAAUUCAUUAAUUCAAUGCUCCUGCAAAAAGGUGCCUUUCAGAUUGACGUUAAAUGCUCUGGUUAAUUCAAUUGUUGAAACAUUUAUAAGUCAAUUUAAUCCAACUUUAAUCUUGUUGUGAGUCUUGAGCAAUGAAAAAACACAACAAACUCAAAAUAUAUUUUAUAUUGAAAUUAAGUUUUGGGUAAAAAAUCAAACAAUGUUGCCAAGUUAAAUAAAGCUAUUUAAUCUUUACCCAAAUUUGUAUCAAUUUAAUGGAUAAUACAAUUGUUAUUUAGCCUUAUUUUCAGCCUCUUUUCCUGCUCAUCUUCAUAAUCAUCUUGCGUUUUACAUCCAAGUAAUUAUAAUUAAAUUUGUUCAACAACUAAACCUAAAAAGACAAGCAAUUUAACAUUGAUCAGCAUUUCUUUUCAUUCUCAAUGUAAAUACAUUAAGCUGAUUUCACCUCAUCAUUAAACUUGCCAAGCUUUUAAAACCUGUAAAUGUAUUAAAAUGAAAGAUUAACUUUGAAUAUUUA